rnacentral:lncRNA from 1 species
UAAACUAGUAUUAUCUCUAGAAGGUUACCUUAGCAGCCUCUGCUCUAUUGAGUUUAUGAAAAAAGAAUGCAGCCCAACUAAGGAUGCUGCCUCCUCCUCAAGUUAUCAUUCAAUUCUGGAAUCUUGGGCAUUGCCUUUGUAUCGAGGAUGAGGGGCUGCAGUUUUCAGUCAUCAAUCCCACAGGUGAUAUCCUUCAAAAUAACCACAAAUAUUUUUCUCCAGAUUCUUUAAAUAAUACAUAUGUGCCUAUGAUUCAAUGCACUUUGUAAAAAUAAAAAGUAUACAAUUGAUAGCUAUAAUUUUUCAGUGACUACAAAUUUAAGAUCACCCCUGAAUAUGAAUCUGAUCUAGUUUUUCUGUUCCACCCCACUCUGCAAGGAGUGUUACUUGCCAUACAGAAA